AGAGUGCUUUUUGCAUCGUUCGUAUAAGCUUUAAAUUUAAUAUGCUCACCUUCUUUUUUUUGUUGUUGGGUUGUCAGUGAAUUUAUUGCUAACUUCUUGCCUAUACAUCCCUUCUUCUCAUCUCUCUUUCUCUCACAGACACAGACAUACACAUUAAGUAAUGAAUCACAAUCUCAGAGUCAUGGAACAUUUCUUUACCUUGCAGGAAACAAAAUCCCAUUUUCUCUUCCUUCAUAGUUUCUUUUCCCUACUCCCUUGAUUUUUCUAUCUCUAUAUAUAUGGAGUCACUUGAAAGCUCUCUUAAAACCCUUUUCUUGGUAUAUACAUUUCACCUGAAACCAUCUCUUUAUUCCUUCAAUUCUUGGGAAUUUUUAGGGCGUGGUGUUGCAUGUACUUAUGUUUGUUUCUUUAUGAACUAAGUUUUACUGGUGUGGUUAGUUUUUCUCUUGAAAUUAUGUACUACUAUAAAACUUGUCAACAUAAUUAUAUAUAACGAGAUAUUGGUGCGGUUCAAUCAGAUAGUAAUGCUCCAUAAGCAUAGAGCUCUAUUGUUUGAUUGAGCCGUGCCAAUAUCACGUAUAUGUUGCUCCGGAAAAAAAAAUAAAAGUGAUGUACUUGGAAGUUCGCAGACUCAACAGCCACCCAUGGCCCUAUGAGCACAUAAUCUCAGGGAGGUGAAAAUUGUCACUACACAGAACUUCCAAGUCACCUAUGGCGACAAGUGCUAGUAUUUUGUGUCCCUGUAGACUUUGAAAACGUGCCUUGCAAUAAUUUUGUCCUUGAGUUUUACUUCUACUUUCCUGAGUCAAUAUGAUCCAUGGGAUUCUUCAUCACUUUCUCUGUCACUCUCUUUAAUUUCAUUGACAACUGAGGGUUCUUAGCAGAGGUCUAAAGGGAGAUAAAGACUAUUGAAAGGGGAAGACAGUGUUGCAUUCAACUGUUAUUCUAGGUGAUAGUAGGGGUACUGAAGGGAUUUGCUUUCUCCUUUCUGGUCCUAUUAGGUUAUCAAACAAACAAGGGUUGCCGCCUUGUUUCUGUAGCCUGUAGGUGCCUAAUUGUUUCAAAGCUGAAACUCACCAUUUGACCUGGAAGCAUUCUUAUAUUCAUUAGCUUGGAUAUGGUAAACAUAAUGUGACCAAGUUCGAUGA